UCCUAACACAGUACAUGUGAUCCUCUUGCGU
rnacentral:piRNA from 1 species